CAGCUCCAGCCAAGAUGGAGGUUGUGUUCUGGUACCAUUAACGAACGUUCUUCUGAGUCGUUCUUCACAGUAUGGGGCGUAACCCGGUGGCCCACUGCUGAUGAAGUUCCUCAGACAUCUGGUUCCUCAGCUUGGUCUCUUCGGCCAGACGCAUCUUCUCAGCCUCCAGCCUCCUUCGGUACUGAGGCGUGCCACAAAAGACCACAAGCCGUACGUUUUCCCAACGCUACCUGCUUGUAGGCGGGUUUGACUCCAGGCAUGAGCACGCGGUAGCGGUCCACAAACUCCACGAAGGUGUAGCGGAUGGGGUAGCCUGCGCGGCGGAUGCGGAUGGUCUCCAUCAUUCCCGAGUACCUCAGCUGGCGCACGCACAGCGUACGAAAAAUGGCUGACAGACGCUCAACGUCCUCAUCAGCAACUCCAGAGAUUUCUUGAACUGACUGCUGAGCGUGGGAGACCGCUUCCUGGUCUCUGCGCCCUACCGACACACACAGUUUUUUUUAAAUUUUUGCCCUUCCUGCACUUCUUCCUCUUUGUGGGAUACGUUCAAAAAAAAAAUGCGCUGGGGUGGGCAAAGCGCGGCUCGCGGCCCGUACGCAGGAGCCGCGCGGCGUCGUGUCGCCUCGAGAUCGAGAGUCUGGAUGUUUUUCAACCCGUUUCAAUCCAACGGCCCGGUACCGAAGGAGCUCGUCAGCCACGGAGCGAGCCGGUUGGAAGAUGGAGACAGGGGGCAAAACCACAGAGAAACUGCAAGGAAACGCCGACAAAUCAUGCAAGUGACACACACAAAAGGAGACGUUUUUUGAAAACAUGCGGGACGGGGAAAAAGUCACGGGAAACGGCA